UGGUGGAGUGAUUUGUCUGGUUAAUUCCGAUAACGAACGAGACCUUAACCUGCUAAAUAGCCAGGUUGGCUUCUGCUGAUCGCCGGCUUCUUAGAGGGACUGUCAGUGUCUAACUGACGGAAGUUUGAGGCAAUAACA
rnacentral:rRNA from 1 species